rnacentral:rRNA from 2 species
UNNUGCAGUCGACGAACUCUGGUAUUGAUUGGUGCUUGCAUCAUGAUUUACAUUUGAGUGAGUGGCGAACUGGUGAGUAACACGUGGGAAACCUGCCCAGAAGCGGGGGAUAACACCUGGAAACAGAUGCUAAUACCGCAUAACAACUUGGACCGCAUGGUCCGAGCUUGAAAGAUGGCUUNGGCUAUCACUUUUGGAUGGUCCCGCGGCGUAUUAGCUAGAUGGUGGGGUAACGGCUCACCAUGGCAAUGAUACGUAGCCGACCUGAGAGGGUAAUCGGCCACAUUGGGACUGAGACACGGCCCAAACUCCUACGGGAGGCAGCAGUAGGGAAUCUUCCACAAUGGACGAAAGUCUGAUGGAGCAACGCCGCGUGAGUGAAGAAGGGUUUCGGCUCGUAAAACUCUGUUGUUAAAGAAGAACAUAUCUGAGAGUAACUGUUCAGGUAUUGACGGUAUUUAACCAGAAAGCCACGGCUAACUACGUGCCAGCAGCCGGCGGU